rnacentral:rRNA from 1 species
ACAUACAACCAUAGGGUGUGGAAAACAGGGCUUCCCGUCCGCUCAGCCGUACUUAAGCCACACGCCGGCCGGUUAGUAGUUGGGUGGGUGACCACCAGCGUCCCGGCUGUUGUAUGUU